CCUACGGGUGGCAGCAGUGGGGAAUAUUGCACAAUGGGGGAAACCCUGAUGCAGCAACGCCGCGUGAGUGAUGAAGGCCUUCGGGUUGUAAAGCCCUGUCUUCAGGGACGAAAAUGACGGUACCUGAGGAAGAAGCCCCGGCUAACUACGUGCCAGCAGCCGCGGUAAUACGUAGGUGGCGAGUGUUGUCCGGAUUUACUGGGCGUAAAGGGAGCGUAGGCGGCCUUGUAAGUCAGAUGUGAAAUACCCGGGCUCAACUUGAGUGCUGCAUUUCAAACUGGAGGGCUAGAGUGCAGGAGAGGAGAAUGGAAUUCCUAGUGUAGCGGUGAAAUGCGUAGAGAUUAGGAGGAACACCAGUGGCGAAGGCGAUUCUCUGGACUGUAACUGACGCUGAGGCUCGAAAGCGUGGGGAGCAAACAGGAUUAGAUACCCGAGUAGUC
rnacentral:rRNA from 1 species